CUUGCCCCCCCAUCACAGCUGUUUACACUGUUCAGCAUGGUGAGGGGAAGGUGGGCUGGGGAGAUGCCAAUUGAUCCUAUCUGUCCCCAGGCCCGUCUGCCUUGCACCCACCGCUGGAGGCACUGGACAGAGUGGGUGGGCAGGUGGGUGGGUAUGCGGGGUCUCCAUGCAGAAAAGCCUAGGACCCCUUUAGGCAGGGUGUGCUUGGCCAGGCAGAAGGGAUGGGUCUGUGGGAGGCAGGGAGCAGUGUCUGAAAGCAGGAUGGGUAGGUAGUGUGGAAUCAGAAAAAAUAAAUGCCUUAAACUUUGAUCAUUUGAGUUAUAAGAUGACAUAACUGCUUUGUGGAGAAUUGCUGGCUCUGUAUAGUAGAACAGAUAAGAGAAAGUGUUUGUUCUUUGUAACUCCUCUGCAACUGCUUCACUCACCACGGCCUUGAAGAUAGCAAAAAGUAUGUACAACUCUGAUUUCCAGGUGUAAGAAGGAGGUUUGUGAACUAACCUUGCCUCCCCCAUAAGUUCCCAUCCUGAUUACAGCAAAGAAGUAAUGAAGUAAUGUUAUAGCUGCUUUUCAUGUUAAUUGCACUAUAUGAUCAUGUGAAUUGUAAGCGACUGUUAAAAAGUAUAUAAGCCUCCUGAUUUUGCUCUUGGGGGGGAACCCCUUCCAAGUGCUUGGGAAAUCCAUGUCACUUUGGAGUCCCCACUACAGCUGUAGUUUCUUUUGAAUAAAAGCUUCUGCUGACCUGACCCAAAAGUAUGCUGCGUGUGUUUCCACGACAAUUCCUGGUGCCGUGACUCAGAUCCAGAACACAUGCUGAGGAAGGAGGACCGUGGACUGCCCCCCCCAAACUCCGAGGCGCCAAACUUGAGAGCAGAUCGGUCUCCUUUGGCUAGCCUUUCAAGUCUGGCCCUUCUUCAAAAUCAGGCCCCAAAAAAGGAAAUAGAUGACUGGCUGCGUGAAGGAUGUUCACUGUACCCCGACUCUCUCUGGCGCUCCCCGGACAGCCGCCUGGUGGCGCCUAGAGAGCUUUUGCCAUAUCUUGCUCAUUUAACCCACUCUGUGGCCCAUACGAGCAAAGGGGGAAUGAUUGCUACAGUACAAAGAAAUUGGUUUGCCCCAAAUUUUCCUUCCAUGGCACAACAGUACUGUAGCUCCUGUCCCAUCUGUUUAGCUCACAACAUUGGGCAACGGGUAAAAACGAUACCCGCAGCCCAUCCCCCUCCAUGGGGACCGUUUGUGAAUCUGCAAAUUGAUUUCGUGCAGCUACCUAAGUGCUGUUCUUAUGAGUACAUUCUUGUUAUUAUUGAUGUGUUCUCUGAAUGGGUAGAAGCCAACCCAUGCGUACAUGCUGAUUCCAUCACUGUAGCGAAGAAAUUGCUCAAAGAAUUCAUCCCUAGAUUUGGAUUGCCCCUCACAAUAGAUAGCAACCAAGGCACCCAUUUCACAGAACAGAUAAUAAAAAACAUCUGCCAAGCACUCAACAUACAACGACACCUACACUGUAGUUAUCAUCCACAAUCAAGUGGUGCUGUAGAACAUAAAAACUCUGAUUUGAAAACGCGCAUUUCGAAGAUUUGUGCUGAAACAGGCCUCAAAUGGCCUGAUGCGCUGCCCAUUGCUCUUAUGCACAUUAGGAACACUGUUAACAGAAAACAUGGCCUAACCCCUUAUGAAAUACUCAUGGCAUGACCCACGAGGAUGCCAGCUACACCACCUGUUGCCCCACCAAACAGACCUACAAUUAACUGAUGAAACUGUACUAAAUUAUUGCAAGGCAUUAAUGAAGUAUGCCAGGUCAGUUCAUUCACAGGUCCAAGAAGCCUUACCUCAACCACUGGAUGUUCCAUCACAACCUCGAACCAGGAGAUUGGGUCUACAUAAAGGUCUAUCAACGGAAAAACGCACUUCAACCCAGAUGGAAGGGACCUUUCCAGGUACUUCUGACCACUAAUUCUGCUGUUCAUUGCCAAGGUCACCAAACGUGGACUCAUGCCUCGCACUGCAAGAAGGUAUCACCUCCAUUGGACCCCGAAGCAGCUGAAUUCCAACCAAGGUUGAAAUCUUUCCCUGAGGCCAAGGACAAAGACCCUCAGGACCUCACUCAGGCAAGUGAGGAGCAUCAGGGUGCAAGUGCUAGUAACCUCUCCCCUGAACCCAACACCUCAGCCCAGCUGGAUUCAUCAGUUGAAGAACGAAGAUAUCAUCUCCAGCCUUGAAGAAAGUGAAUGCUCACACUCGGAAGAUCACCACCUCUAUCAAGACCAAGAGCCGAUGUUAUCAGUCCUUUAAGUAACCUGAACCCAAAGGACGAAGAAAGACUUUGGCUGCCAUCCUGGGUUUGGCUAGAUAGCAGCCCAACAUGGUCCAUCCUAUACGAUGCAUGUCAAUUUAAAGUGCCGGAUAAGGUAAAACACCUGUUCAGAUUUGAGUACCCUUUCUGCCCCAGGCCUUUACUGGCUCUGCAGAAACAGGGCUCAUAAAAUCUUGCCCUAGAAUUGGGUGGGGGCAUACACUCUUAGAUGUGUUAUCCCUGGUUUCAAAAUGUAUAGUGCAAUAUAUCUGGAACAAGUAAAAAAUUUCAACAAUCACAUAAAAAGGGCGGUUAACCCCUUAGCUACCAGAAACACAGGGUUCCAUCAAUUUGUGAGACCCUUCAUACUGUGGCUUGGAGUAAGAGAAUUGGAAUUAGCCAUAAUUAAUGGUUCAGCCACAAUGGAAGCUAUGGGAAAUGCCACUGCAGAUGCAAUUCAGGCUCUGCAAGAAGAGAUCUCCCAGAUCUCACAAGUAACUAUACAAUACCGCAUAGCCCUAGAUUACCUAUUGGUAUCCCAGGGAGGAGUAUGUGCCUUAGUAAACUCCACCUGUUGUGUCUAUGUCAACCAGGACAUGCGAAUAGAAACCGACAUUCGUAAAAUUCAAAAUCAGUUAAGGGUCCUUACAUCAAGUGGCCUCAAAAAAAAAAUAAAAUACUGACUGGGGUCUAGAAGAAAUGUGGUCUUAGCUAACCUCCUGGCUCCCAGAUUUUGGGGCCCUUGGCAAGAAAAUCCUGUAUAGAAUAUUGUUUUUCUUGAUAGUUCCGACAAUGUUUUAUGUCUUAGUGCAACUGAUCCUCUGCUGCUUGAAAGCCAGCAGAAGAAGCUUUCACAAAGCAAGAAAACCCAUGGCAGAAUCUAGAAUAAUGGUAUUACAAAAGUGUGAGCAGAUUAAAAGAAAACAUGAAAGGCUGCAUGACGAAAUAGAGGGGCUCAUGAGAAUGGAAGUUUAAGGCUAAAGUGAGACUAAAUAGUCUCAAAGGGGGACUGUGGAAUCAGAAAAAAUAAAUGCCUUAAACUUUGAUCAUUUGAGUUAUAAGAUGACAUAACUGCUUUGUGGAGAAUUGCUGGCUCUGUAUAGUAGAACAGAUAAGAGAAAGUGUUUGUUCUUUGUAACUCCUCUGCAACUGCUUCACUCACCACGGCCUUGAAGAUAGCAAAAAGUAUGUACAACUCUGAUUUCCAGGUGCAAGAAGGAGGUUUGUGAACUAACCUUGCCUCCCCUCAUAAGUUCCCAUCCUGAUUACAGCAAAGAAGUAAUGAAGAAAUGUUAUAGCCGCUUUUCAUGCUAAUUUCACUAUAUGAUCACAUGAGUUGUAAGCGACUGUUAAAAAGUAUAUAAGCCUCCUGAUUUUGCUCUUGGGGGGGAACCCCUUCCAAGUGCUUGGGAAAUCCAUGUCACUUCGGAGUCCCCCCUACAACUGUAGUUUCUUUUGAAUAAAAGCUUCUGCUGACCUGACCCAAAAGUAUGCUGCGUGUGUUUCCACGACAGUAGGGUCAGGGCCAGGGCUAGGGCCAGGACCAUGGGACAGUGAAAGCGAAGGGCUGGGGCCCAGGUCAGAGCCACAUCUGCUCCCCACACAUUCCUGGGAUGGGCACCGGUUUCAUAGGCAGGGAAAGGGAAGAGACCAGGUCCAGCAGUGGUGAUACUAGCAGCGACAGUUGGAAUGUGAGGACGAAAGUUACUGCUCCUCCUGGCCCUGUGGAUGACAGCUGCUGGCAUGCCCAAGAGCCGUGCAUAAGGACAGGGCAAGCUGUGGUUCAUGCCAGGCAGCACCUCCAUGUCUGGGGGUAGUGGGACAGGCCACACGCAACAGCCUGGGCUAUCCCCUACCCAUGGGCUGGGUGGGGCUGAGGGACCCACUAAUGGCUGGAAAAAAAUCAUUUGGGUGGGCCGGAUUCAGCCCACAGGCCACAAUUUGCCUACCCCUGCUUUAACAUGUAGCCAGCUUACUAUUUAUGGUGUGAUGAACACAUUAAUCUCAUCUUAAAUGUAACAUGUGCCAGAAUUCUUAGAAAAAAGAGGACUGUAAAUACUUGCUUACUGUUUCGCAAUAAAAGCUGCUGUUUAGUUCUUCUCAUUC